rnacentral:rRNA from 1 species
UGGGGAAUCUUGCACAAUGGGGGAAACCCUGAUGCAGCGACGCCGCGUGAGCGAUGAAGCCCUUCGGGGUGUAAAGCUCUUUCGGCAGGGAAGAUUAUGACGGUACCUGCAGAAGCAGCUGCGGCUAACUACGUGCCAGCAGCCGCGGUAAUACGUAGGCAGCAAGCGUUGUUCGGAGUUACUGGGCGUAAAGGGUGCGUAGGCGGUUCUAUAAGUAUGGUGUGAAAUCUCCCGGCUUAACUGGGAGGGUGCGCUAUAGACUGUGGGACUCGAGUAUGGGAGAGGAAAGUGGAAUUCCUGGUGUAGCGGUGAAAUGCGUAGAUAUCAGGAGGAACACCGGUGGUGUAAACGGCUUUCUGGACCAUAACUGACGCUGAGGCACGAAAGCGUGGGUAGCAAACAGGAUUAGAUACCCUGGUAGUCCACGCCCUAAACGAUGCAUAUUUGGUGUGGGUCAUUCAGUUGAUCCGUGCCGGAGCUAACGCGUUAAAUAUGCCGCCUGGGGAGUACAGUCGCAAGGCUG